rnacentral:lncRNA from 1 species
CAGAGCUCACACCCGCCGUGCGCUCGCGCCCCAGGGGCCGCCCCCGACACUCCAGUGCGACUCUGCGUGCACAGGCCAGAGGCUCAGAACCAGCGCCGGGCUGCCCUGCUCGGCCUCCUGGGCGCGCAGCGGCGUUUGCCCGUGCACGUGCCCUCGCAUCGCGCGCUCCGGGGCCGGGCUCCGGGCGGUUCUCGCCGCUGCAGUUCCACCGGGACUUCCGCGCUUCGGCGGCCUGUCUGACGAGCCGCCGCGCCCAGAGAGGUUCAGGUUGGAGCGACACUUCCCAGAGGGCAGCGGUCACGCCAGAUCUUUGGCUUCCAUUCCGUUUUCGCGCGCUUCUCCCACUUUGCAAGCUCUGGAUUCUCUUUGUUCUUUCCCAGUAGAGGAAUCCCAAGGAGGACUGAUCCGUUUUGGCAGGUGCACAACCAUGGUUCGCACUUAAGUAUCUCUGGUGAGAUGCCCCACGGACAGCUUUACGCAGCACACUAGGAGGUGGGCUUCUUGAAGAUCCAUUACCAUGGCUUACUCGCAGAGUCCUUUCA